rnacentral:rRNA from 1 species
GGGCUUACACAAGCGGUGGAGCAUGUGGUUUAAUUCGAAACAACGCGCAGAACCUUACCAAUCCUUGCAAUAUACAGGAAGCAACUGUUAUAAGUUGUCUUUUGGUAUACAGGCGCUGCAUGGCUGUCGUCAGUUCGUGGCGUGAGCUGUUGGGGUUAAGUCCUAGAACGAACGCAACCCUCUUAGCAUGUGCAUUUUUAAUGCCUUGUUAAACUGCCAGUGACAUACGGGAGGAAGGAGAGGAUGACGUCAAGUCCGCAUGGCCCUUAUGGGUUGGGCUACACACGUGCUACAAUGGCGAACACAAAGGGAUGCAAUCCCGCGAGGGGAGCU